CCUACGGGAGGCUGCAGUGAGGAAUAUUGGUCAAUGGGCGGGAGCCUGAACCAGCCAAGUCGCGUGAGGGAAGACGGUCCUAUGGAUUGUAAACCUCUUUAGGCGGGGAGCAAUGCCGGGCACGCGUGCCCGGAGGGAGAGUACCCGCAGAAUAAGCAUCGGCUAACUCCGUGCCAGCAGCCGCGGUAAUACGGAGGAUGCGAGCGUUAUCCGGAUUUAUUGGGGUUAAAGGGUGCGUGGGCGGAUUUUUAAGUCAGCGGUAAAAUGUCCGGGCUCAACCCGGGCCGGCCGUUGAAACUGGGGAGCUUGAGUGGGCGAGAGGUAUGCGGAAUGCGUGGUGUAGCGGUGAAAUGCAUAGAGAUCACGCAGAACUCCGAUUGCGAAGGCAGCAUACCGGCGCCCGACUGACGCUGAGGCACGAAAGCGUGGGGAUCGAACAGGAUUAGAUACCCCGGUAGUC
rnacentral:rRNA from 1 species